rnacentral:rRNA from 1 species
AACGAACGCUGGCGGCAGGCUUAACACAUGCAAGUCGAACGCAUCCUUCGGGGUGAGUGUCAGACUGGUGAGUAACGCGUUGGAACGUGCCCUUCAGUUCGGUAUAACCCAGGGAAACUUGGGCUAAUACCGGAUACGUGCGAGAGCAGAAAGAUUUAUCGCUGAAGGAUCGGGCCGCGUCUGAUUAGCUCGUUAGUGGGGACAUUGCCCACCAAGGCGACGAUCAGUAGCUGGUCUUAAAGGAUGAUCAGCCACAUUGGGACUGAGACACCGACCAAAAUCCUAAGUGAGGCAGCAGUGGGGAAUAUUGGAGAAUGGGCGCAAUGUUGAUCCAGCCAUGCCGAGUGAGUGAUGAAGACCUUAGGGUUGUAAAGAUCUUUAGUCCGGGACGAUAAUGACGGUACCGGAAGAAGAAGCCACGGAUAACUUCGUGCCAGCCGCCGCGGUAA